rnacentral:rRNA from 1 species
CCUACGGGAGGCAGCAGUGGGGAAUAUUUGGCAAUGGGCGCAAGCCUGACCCAGCAACGCCGCGUGAAGGAAGAAGGCUUUCGGGUUGUAAACUUCUUUUAUCAGGGACGAAGAUAGCGAUGGUACCCGAGGAAUCAGCCACUGAUAACUACGCGCCAGCCGCCGUGGUACUACGUAGGGGGCAAGCGUUAUCCGGAUUUACUGGGUGUAAAGGGCGUGUAGGCGGGAAAGCAAGUCAGAUGUGAAAACCAUGGGCGCAACCUGGGGCCUGCAUUUGAAACUGUUUUUCUUGAGUACAGGAGAGGCAGGCGGAAUUCCUAGUGUAGCGGUGAAAUGCGUAGAUAUUAGGAGGAACACCAGUGGCGAAGGCGGUCUACUGGACUGCAACUGACGCUGAGGCGCGAAAGCGUGGGGAGCAAACAGGAUUAGAUACCCUAGUAGUC